GAGAGAGACAUGCGCGCAUAUCAAUAAGCGGAGGAAAAGAAACUAACAAGGAUUCCCCUAGUAACGGCGAGUGAAGCGGGAAGAGCUCAAAUUUGAAAUCUUAAAGGGUUUCCCUUUACGAAUUGUAGUUUAAAGAAGUGUUUUCUGUUGAGGUUUUGGUAAAAGUUCUUUGGAAUAGGACAUCAUAGAGGGUGAGAAUCCCGUAUUUGACCUUUACUUUCAACUUUGUGAUACACUUUCAAAGAGUCGGAUUGUUUGGGAAUGCAGUCCAAAAUGGGUGGUAAAUUUCAUCUAAAGCUAAAUAUUGGCGAGAGACCGAUAGCGAACAAGUACCGUGAGGGAAAGAUGAAAAGAACUUUGAAAAGAGAGUUAAACAGUACGUGAAAUUGUCAAAAGGGAAGCGUUUGACACCAGUGUUGUUUUUCUGAAAAUCAAUUAAAGAACUGUUUAUGCUAAGCUGUUUAGACUUUAUCAGCUAUCUGUUUAGUUUUGAGCUUUUCUUUAAUGCACUUUUCAGUUAACAAGUCAACAUCAAUCUCCUUUGCUGUAAAAAAGCUUGAGGAAGGUGGCUUGAGAUUCGUCUUAAGUGUUUAUAGCCUCUUGCCUAUGCAGUCGGAGAGAUUGAGGUCUGCAGCGUAGAUCCUUCGGGGCUAAAUGCAUUUGUGCUAAGUUAUAGCAUUUUAUAGACAACUUGUUGACUAUGAUUUGUCUUGUAGCUUACUCGCUUAUGUUAUUUUACCUACGCUUAGGAUGUUGAUGUGAUACUGCGAGCA
rnacentral:rRNA from 1 species